UGGGGAAUAUUGCACAAUGGGCGCAAGCCUGAUGCAGCCAUGCCGCGUGUGUGAAGAAGGCCUUCGGGUUGUAAAGCACUUUCAGCGAGGAGGAAGGGUAGUGUGUUAAUAGCACAUUGCAUUGACGUUACUCGCAGAAGAAGCACCGGCUAACUCCGUGCCAGCAGCCGCGGUAAUACGGAGGGUGCAAGCGUUAAUCGGAAUUACUGGGCGUAAAGCGCACGCAGGCGGUUUGUUAAGUCAGAUGUGAAAUCCCCGCGCUUAACGUGGGAACUGCAUUUGAAACUGGCAAGCUAGAGUCUUGUAGAGGGGGGUAGAAUUCCAGGUGUAGCGGUGAAAUGCGUAGAGAUCUGGAGGAAUACCGGUGGCGAAGGCGGCCCCCUGGACAAGGACUGACGCUCAGGUGCGAAAGCGUGGGGAGCAAACA
rnacentral:rRNA from 1 species